UUUUACCAGAGUUAGCUUUUAGAAACGUGGUUUUUCUAAUUGAGCAAUGUGCGUGGCUAAAAUUGUGAAUACAAAACCUUAAAUUUGAGUUUGAAAAUGCAUACACGACCGAAGAAACAUAUAAGCUGCUAAAAUAAAUCUUCCCUAGAACUGUUGUACAAAAAAGAUAGAAGUUCCAGCAACAAAUUUAUCACCAGUUCAACCUUUGAUUUGAUGUAAACAGUAAUUGUUUCUUGAUGAGAAAUGCGAAUGAAAUAGUUUAUGGUGUGAUUGUGUUAGUGUUUUAUUAAUAGUUUUGUUGAUGCAGUUUAAAGGUUCAUAGUUUUUCAUUAAAACAUUUGAAAUUGACAUGUUUACAUGCAGUUUAGUGUGAUACCAUUUUAAUAAACAUUAAAAUCUUUCGAACUAGUAGUGGUUUUAUGGCGAUUGACAGAUUGAAUAACGAAAAUUAAGAGUAUUUUAUCAGGAAUAACUUAAUCAUAAAUGGAAACUGAAGACGAACGUUACCAUUGCACCCUUUGAUCGGUGUUAUCUAUUCCAUAACUUUUUAUAGCUGAAACUAGAGAGUAGGUAUAUUGAGCUGAAACGUUUCCUGUGUUCAAUAGCGUUUUUUCUAGCGUUGAAUUGUAAGUUUUAAUGUCAUUAGCAAAGUUUUGCAAAUUGUCACUGUUUCGUAGACAAUUAAAUUCAAGAUAUAUUAUAUUCAAUGUCACCUAAUAAUUGUAAAGGUUUUUCUAUUGAUAUUCACUUUAUUAAUAUAAGGUAGGUUUGUAAAUAAAAUAUUAAUGAAUAAAUAAUGUACUCAGUUUAUUUCAAAAGCACAAAAAUACAGAGUUGUGAAUAUGUAUAUACGCUGACUUAUUUCAUCAUAUAAAUAUUUAUUUAGCAAUAUUAAUACAUUACAACUUUUGUUUCUAUUAACUAAUUCCACUAAAUUUAAUAAAUAAAAUAUACAAUAUAUAAAUUUAAUAUACAAUUUAGCACUUAGAUAUUAAAUAUCUAUAUGUACUAUGCCAAAAAAUAAAACAGGAACAUCAUAUUAUAUCAAGAACACAAAAAAUUACAAUUUAAAAAAAAUGCAUUCUAAAAAAAUACCUAGCUACAAUAUACCUACAUAUUAAUUUAAAGAGCUUAUUCAUAUUCAUAAAAACUAUUCUAAAUGGUUUAUAUACACAAUCAAAAGUAUCAACCACAAUACAAUAAUUUUCAAAUUAUUUCUUAUUAUUCCUCAA